rnacentral:rRNA from 1 species
AGUGAACGCUGGCGGCAGGCCUAACACAUGCAAGUCGAGCGGCAGCGGGUUCCCGCGAGGGGAUGCCGGCGAGCGGCGGACGGGUGAGGAACACAUCGGAAUCUGCCUGGUUGUGGGGGAUAACGUAGGGAAACUUACGCUAAUACCGCAUGAGACCCUGAGUCGACGGACUGGGGGUGAAAGUGAGGGACCUUCGGGCCUCACGCGACCAGAUGAGCCGAUGUCGGAUUAGCUAGUUGGCGGGGUAACGGCCCGCCAAGGCGACGAUCCGUAGCUGGUCUGAGAGGAUGAUCAGCCACACUGGGACUGAGACACGGCCCAGACUCCUACGGGAGGCAGCAGUGGGGAAUCUU